rnacentral:rRNA from 1 species
UACAGAGGGUGCAAGCGUUGUUCGGAAUUACUGGGCGUAAAGCGCGCGCAGGCGGGUCUGUAAGUCGGAAGUGAAAUCUCACUGCUCAACGGUGAGGCUGCUUCUGAUACUGCAGAUCUUGAGACCGGUAGAGGUUGGUGGAAUUGCAGGUGUAGCGGUGGAAUGCGUAGAGAUCUGCAAGAACACCAGUUGCGAAGGCGGCCGACUGGACACAUAUUGACGCUGAGGCUCGAAAGCAUGGGGAGCAAACAGG